UUUAAUAGUAGUAAAGCAAAAAAUUCUAUAUAGCAGGUAGUGUGUUUGGUAAAGGGUAUAUUAUACUGUUAUCAAAUAGAAAAUUUAUGGCAUAUAAUAAUUGAGUCGGCGAUCUUAGAUAAAAAGGAAAAUACAGCUACGUUAUGCGGUAAAAAGUCAUGGCUGACUCCGGGAUGAAUAUGAAAUAUACUCAAAAAUAAGCGAUUCAUG